GCGAAGCGGGCUCCAUCAGGCAUGACUGAUCUUGAGAUCUUUCGUCUGGUCUUCCAGGUGCUGGAUCUGCUCUUCCUGCUUCUUGUCUGGUAGGAGGACUUCCACUGUGUAGCUGAUCUUCUUGGCAUGGAGGUAGCUGUACGUGUUGUCAAAGCGCAGGACGUCUGCAAGGAGCAAAACAAAAACGGAGAAAGUCACAUCCUGAGCAGAGAUCAGGGCGGCCAUAUUUUGCCUUAGAGAAGACUGUCACUGAGCAUGUACAGAGGUCCUGUCCCAGGGAAGUGUCUGUGAGAUAUUUCAAGGACAAAAUUAUGCCAAGGAUGUUCAGAAUACCUCCCCCCGCUCCCGUUGUGAAUAGAAUUUUCCUUUACUACAAUCUCUUUGGACAGGAAUGGUGUCCCCCAUAGAUUCUGGUCUGCCUAGACAGAGUCUUAGAGUGAAAUGGGCGACAUCUACACAACUUGAAAGGAAAGGCUCAGGUUUUUGCCUUGGACUGUUCGGUUCUCCUUGGGACAGGAAGCUGUUUGGAUUUUCCAUCUCAAGUUUCCAGUCCUCUUGAGGAGUCUCCAAGUACCAAAGAAAUCCACCUAAAGAACAAACACUCUCGCUGGCGCAAGCCAAGUUUUGGAUUCUUGACUCCCUGCAACACAUCCCUCAUCAUUUCGGGACCUCCCACCUGCCAGAGUGAUUGCUCCUUGGGAAGCAGAGAAGAUCUCCGGGCCAGAGCGCCCAUUUGGAUAGAACCCUGUAUUCCUCCAGAUUCACCCUGGUCGCCUAGCAAAAGCAAAGAGUGGCUGAAAUGGCAACCGUGGCCUACGUACAGAUUCCAGCAUCGGCACAGGUGAGGGAGCCGUCUUCAGGCACCAUGUGGGUGUUGUAGCGCUGGUUUGGACACACUUCCGUCAUCUCCCCGGCGUGCUGACGCCCACCGACCUUGGUCUUCAGGAAGACCCCAAAGCCCACAUCACCACCUUCGGACAUGAACUGCCAGCUGCAGGGGAGGAGGAGGGUUGUGUGUGAACCCAAAUUCACUUUGUUGUAUAAAAGUAGUAGUUGUCGGUGGUGGUGGUGGGCAAGAAAAUAGAACAAGCUCUUUGGAACAAGAGGGGACACACUUAAGUUUAAACCUGAACUUUUUAUUGGCCUUCAGGAGAGCCCAUGAAACCUAUCUGUUUGGCCUGGCCUUCCAGGGUUUUUAAUGUUGUAAUCUGGUUUUUCCAGGGUUUUUAAACUGUUCUGUUUAAUCGUUGUUGUUUUAUGCUGUUUUAUAAUUUUUGUUUUAACUGUUGAUUGAUUUUAGUGGUUUUGUUUUAAUUGUAAACUGCCCUGAGCCAUUCUGGAAGGGCGGUAUAGAAAUUGAAUAAGUAAUAAAUACAAUAACAUGCCAUAA